rnacentral:rRNA from 1 species
GUCCACGCUGUAAACGAUGGGUGCUAGGUGUCUCGGGUAUUGACCCCUGAGGUGCCGUAGCUAACGCGUUAAGCACCCCGCCUGGGAAGUACGGUCGCAAGACUAAAACUCAAAGGAAUUGACGGGGGCCCGCACAAGCGGUGGAGCAUGUGGUUUAAUUCGACGCAACGCGCAGAACCUUACCCGGGCUAGAAAAGCACGGAACCCUGUAGAAAUACGGGGGUGCCCGCAAGGGAGCCGUGAUCCAGGUGCUGCAUGGCUGUCGU